rnacentral:rRNA from 1 species
AUUGAACGCCGGCGGCAGGCCUAACACAUGCAAGUCGAGCGGAUGAAGGGAGCUUGCUCCUGGAUUCAGCGGCGGACGGGUGAGUAAUGCCUAGGAAUCUGCCUGGUAGUGGGGGAUAACGUCCGGAAACGGGCGCUAAUACCGCAUACGUCCUGAGGGAGAAAGUGGGGGAUCUUCGGACCUCACGCUAUCAGAUGAGCCUAGGUCGGAUUAGCUAGUUGGUGGGGUAAAGGCCUACCAAGGCGACGAUCCGUAACUGGUCUGAGAGGAUGAUCAGUCACACUGGAACUGAGACACGGUCCAGACUCCUACGGGAGGCAGCAGUGGGGAAUAUUGGACAAUGGGCGAAAGCCUGAUCCAGCCAUGCCGCGUGUGUGAAGAAGGUCUUCGGAUUGUAAAGCACUUUAAGUUGGGAGGAAGGGCAGUAAGUUAAUACCUUGCUGUUUUGACGUUACCAACAGAAUAAGCACCAGCUAACUUCGUG